UUUUGCAACACAGGUCUGGGCCCUACGUGCUCCAGGCGGCACUGGCCAAGUCGAAGCCCGAGAACCCCCACUGCCGAGAUGUGAAGGCCGCUUCUGGGGUGGGGCUGAGGCUGCAGCUGCCUCCCUUUAGCACCAAGGACCCCAACCUUCAGCGACGCAGCCGCCCCUCCCGACCAGGCUGGAGGGACUGCAGGGAUCCGAUGCUUCUGGUGGCCAAAGAGCGACUUUCUCUGAUUCCAGGGCCCUGGCGGGGCAGGCUCCAGUACCGCACUCGGCGGACGCCGAAGGUCUGUGGGACAGGACAGGGGUUCCGCGUGCUGUCGGAAGGGCAGAGGACGAAGGAGGGCGCUAAUUCACUCCCCACGGGGCUGGCGGCGACUCCGAGUCCCGCAGUGACCGCGGAGGGCCAAGGUGCAGGCUACCCCAUGGAUGCCAUACGUGGCUCAACGGCCUAGCGGGGAGAAAAGAAGUGAUUCGGUCCCUGCCGAGGGUUGCUGCCACCCAGGCACUGCUGGCGGACUCAGUGCCAGACAACGUCUGGCCAGGCAAAGAUGGCCAGGCAACGUCUAACCCAGGAGGUGGGACGCAUCCUCGGAGUCACCAGUGAGAUGUGGCGAGCUGGGAGAAAAGUCGGGUUCCUGCAUUUGUCACCUUCUGCCUCCAGCCAUGGUAGUAAACCACCGCGGCCAGUCCCGACCGAUCCCGGACCCCUCAGGUCUCACCUGCAGGUCCUCCAGACCGUGGGCCGCCGCCAGCCCCGGAAGGCCGAGCGGAACUGCUUCACAGGAUUAAAGGAGAAACAGAAAAUGUAUCCAGCGCUGUGCUUGGUGCAUGGCAGGUAAUCAAUUAAUGCUUAUUAAAUACUGUAAAUGAUAAA